rnacentral:rRNA from 1 species
GGUACACGAGCGGCGAACGGGUGAGUAACACGUGAGUAACCUGCCCUUGACUCUGGGAUAAGCCGGGGAAACCCGGUCUAAUACCGGAUAGGACACCCCUCCGCAUGGUGGGGUGUGGAAAGUUUUUCGGUCAGGGAUGGACUCGCGGCCUAUCAGCUUGUUGGUGGGGUAACGGCCUACCAAGGCGAUUACGGGUAGCCGGCCUGAGAGGGCGACCGGCCACACUGGGACUGAGACACGGCCCAGACUCCUGCGGGAGGCAGCAGUGGGGAAUAUUGCGCAAUGGGCGAAAGCCUGACGCAGCGACGCCGCGUGGGGGAUGACGGCCUUCGGGUUGUAAACCUCUUUUACCACUCACGCAGGCCGGGGGUUUUCUCCCGGUUGACGGUAGGUGGGGAAUAAGGACCGGCUAACUACGUGCCAGCAGCCGCGGUAAUACGUAGGGUCCGAGCGUUGUCCGGAAUUAUUGGGCGUAAAGAGCUCGUAGGCGGCGUGUCGCGUCUGCUGUGAAAGACCGGGGCUUAACUCCGGUUUUGCAGUGGAUACGGGCAUGCUAGAGGUAGGUAGGGGAGACUGGAAUUCCUGGUGUAGCGGUGAAAUG